rnacentral:rRNA from 1 species
UACGAAGGGGGCUAGCGUUGUUCGGAAUUACUGGGCGUAAAGCGCACGCAGGCGGUCUUCCAAGUCAGUGGUGAAAGCCCGGAGCUCAACUCCGGAAUUGCCAUUGAAACUGUAAGACUUGAGGAUGAGAGAGGUGAGUGGAAUUCCCAGUGUAGAGGUGAAAUUCGUAGAUAUCGGGAGGAACACCUGUGGCGAAAGCGGCGCACUGGACCACAACUGACGCUGAGGCGCGAAAGCUAGGGGAGCAAACAGG